GACGAACGCUGGCGGCGUGCUUAACACAUGCAAGUCGAACGGAAAGGCCCUGCUUUUGUGGGGUGCUCGAGUGGCGAACGGGUGAGUAACACGUGAGUAACCUGCCCUUGACUUUGGGAUAACUUCAGGAAACUGGGGCUAAUACCGGAUAGGAGCUCCUGCUGCAUGGUGGGGGUUGGAAAGUUUCGGCGGUUGGGGAUGGACUCGCGGCUUAUCAGCUUGUUGGUGGGGUAGUGGCUUACCAAGGCUUUGACGGGUAGCCGGCCUGAGAGGGUGACCGGCCACAUUGGGACUGAGAUACGGCCCAGACUCCUACGGGAGGCAGCAGUGGGGAAUAUUGCACAAUGGGCGGAAGCCUGAUGCAGCAACGCCGCGUGCGGGAUGGCGGCCUUCGGGUUGUAAACCGCUUUCACCUGUGACGAAGCGUGAGUGACGGUAAUGGGUAAAGAAGCACCGGCUAACUACGUG
rnacentral:rRNA from 1 species